rnacentral:rRNA from 1 species
GAUGAACGCUGGCGGCGUGCCUAAUACAUGCAAGUCGAGCGAACAGACGAGGAGCUUGCUCCUCUGACGUUAGCGGCGGACGGGUGAGUAACACGUGGAUAACCUACCUAUAAGACUGGGAUAACUUCGGGAAACCGGAGCUAAUACCGGAUAACAUGUUGAACCGCAUGGUUCAACAGUGAAAGACGGUCUUGCUGUCACUUAUAGAUGGAUCCGCGCCGCAUUAGCUAGUUGGUAAGGUAACGGCUUACCAAGGCAACGAUGCGUAGCCGACCUGAGAGGGUGAUCGGCCACACUGGAACUGAGACACGGUCCAGACUCCUACGGGAGGCAGCAGUAGGGAAUCUUCCGCAAUGGGCGAAAGCCUGACGGAGCAACGCCGCGUGAGUGAUAAAGGUCUUCGGAUCGUAAAACUCUGUUAUUAGGGAAGAACAAAUGUGUAAGUAACUAUGCACGUCUUGACGGUACCUAAUCAGAAAGCCACGGCUAACUACGUG